rnacentral:lncRNA from 1 species
GGUUGUUCUACAUGUAAAACUGAUACACGGAUGGGUACAUAGAGAUUCAUUAUCUUCAGUCAAUGGAAUAAUUUAACACAAGAAAAUAAUGUAUACUGUUAUUGUGUGAAUUCUAAUGAGAUAAUCUCCUUUCACGAGUUAUGCUGAAAUAACAAAUGUAGGUUAUUGUACAAGGAAACAAUGGCUGUAAUGAUACUAUGCAGUUACAGAAAUUUCGCAAAACCAAAUUAUGCCAUAUAAAAAAAAUGCUGUUAGUUUUGUUGUUUAGAUCUGAAAUAAAAUUGAGAAUAGAAAAUGGGGAAUGCAUCAAUGAUUUCAACAUUUGUGUCAUUUCUGGUGAAACAUUGUGGGCAAAAAAUACCUCAUAAAAAACUAAGUAUUGUAAAAACUUGUACAUACUUGCUUAACACAAAGAUAAAAAGAUAAAAUAGGAAAUACUCUUAACACAAAUAAAAUAGGAAAUACUUGCUUAACACAAAGAUAAAAUAGGAAAUACAUAAGUACAGAAAAUAAAAACAUUGUAGAAAUAAAAUAC